AAAUACAAAAAAAAACUUUUCUAUAAAUAUCUGCUCUUCCACUUUUCCUUCCGACUUUUAAAAAUCUAUAUUUUGCCUUUUUAAAAUUUAUAAAAUAUUUUCAGAAGAUUACAGUAUUAAUGAAGCAAGGAAAAUGGCCAAAUUGUGUUUAUUUAUGUUAUAAGAAAAAAUUUAAAAUAUAUUUUAUAUAUUUUUAAAGCUAUUUUCAGUAUAAAUUAUAAAAAAUUGACAGAAUAAUGACGGAAACCUGAUAGAAAGGAGGGGGGACUAAAUAUAUCAACUUAAAUUUUUGGAGGUUAA
rnacentral:lncRNA from 1 species